CCCAGCACACUGGGGCACUAAAUCAGUGCAGGUUCCGUGUCUGGAUCCUGCGGGCCUGUCUGGGCAGAGCUAGGGUGUGGCCAAGCCAGUGUCUGAUCCCACUGCGAGACCAGCCUCCCUCCACCGGCCUCAGGGUUCUGAGAGACAGCUGAGGGGAGCUGACUGUGGGGGGGGGGGUCCUAAGCGGUGCCUGUCUCUAGUUGCGUGGAGGAAGGCGUUGGUGGCCUCUGUCCAGCUUUCCUGAGGCGUGGGGCAGGGGCCCCACCACACCCUCUUCAGGCAGGCCCACGUGGACCCACUGGCUCCCGGCAACCUGGAGCCACUCUCCUCUCCUCUGGGCAGCAGCGAUUCAGGUCUCUCUCUCUCUCUCUCUCUUUAGAGACAGGGUCUCACUUGCAAGACAAAGAUCUGGGACCUGAGCCUGUCUCCCAUGCCUGCAUGUGGCUCUGGGUAACAGAACCUUCUAGUGUGCUCCCCCAGGGUGUGCUUGUGUCACUGUCGACCAGGGCUGGAACUUUAAUUCGCUCACUCCAAAGCCUCAGCCCGGUUUCCCAAGCUGGAAUGCGAGUUGUCCUCAAUUCCUCUUCCUUUUCACUUCCCCGGCUGAUCCCUUCACAGUCCUUUGGCCUCCAUUCCAAAACAGAUCCUGCUCUUACCCUACUCCCACCCUGCCACCACUGCUACCCCCCAGUCUGAGCCACCGCUGCCUCUACCAGAAGAUGAAAUAAGCACCAGCUGUUCCUCCUGCUUCCUUUCUUGACCCCUGCAGUGCAGCCUCCCGCCAGCAGCCAGAGGAGUCUUCAGUAAAGACAAGCCAGGAAGCAACUGGCACACAUGACCUGCAGUGUUACAAGCUGGAGAGAGCAAGGACCUGACUUUGACUUUUUUGAACCUUGAGUUUGAGCCUGAUCCACCGUCUCCAGCAUUGACCCCCGACACCACAUUCUUCCUGCCCUGCCCCCAUCUGGUUCUUGAAUCUUUUGACUGGGGCCGUCAGAGAGCUCUGCAGCAUGAGAAGGAUUCGACCUGCCAUUGCCAGCUGUGAAGAUGGAGGGUCCCCAAGCCGAGGCCUCUGGGAGCUGAGAGUGGCCCCUGGCUGCCAGCCGGCCAGGAAAUGGACACUGCAGUCCUACAGCCACCAGGAACUUAUUCUACCCACAACCCCAGCGAGCCUGGCAGAGGAUUCUUCCUCUGAACCUCCAGGUGAGCCCCUGGCCCUGCCCGAGACCCUGAGCAGAGGGGCCAGCUGCACCAGCUGCAAUUCUGAUGCACAGCACUGUGACAGAAUAAACAGGUGUGGUUUUAAGCCGC